AGUUUGAUCCUGGCUCAGGAUGAACGCUAAGCGGCAGGCCUAAUACAUGCAAGUCGAACGCUCAGUAGCAAUACUGGGAGUGGCGCACGGGUGCGUAACGCGUACACAAUCUACCUCUAAGCGGGGGACACCUCCUGGAAACGGGGAUUAAUACCGCAUAAUAUGCCGAAGUCGCAUGACUUUGGUAUUAAAGCAGCAAUGCACUUAGAGAUGAGUGUGCGUCCCAUUAGGUAGUUGGUGAGGUAACGGCUCACCAAGCCUAUGAUGGGUAGCCGGUCUGAGAGGAUGGUUCGGCCACACGGGGCACUGAGACACGGGCCCGACUCCUACGGGAGGCAGCAGUAAGGAAUAUUGGUCAAUGGUGGAAACACUGAACCAGCCAUGCCGCGUGGAGGAAUAAGGUCCUACGGAUUGUAAACUCCUUUUGACGAGGAAGAAAAUGUUAGAUUUAUCUAAUUUUGACGGUACUCGUAGAAUAAGCACCGGCUAACUCCGUG
rnacentral:rRNA from 1 species